UUAUUGCGGUGGUGAACAACGAAUUUAACAUAGUCACGACGUGUGCACUUGCUUCGGGAAAAUUUGAGAAUCUAUUUUCGCCGUUGAAAGGCGCGCGGGAACGUGUUCGCGACGGAUUUCUCGAACCGUGGUGCUUUAGUACGGUUAGUCUCUCCGCUUCGUGCAGAACUUCGUCGAUCCUGGAAUAGUUUCGUCAGUUACUCAUCGAAGUUUUUCGCGUGUUUGUUGUACGAGCCAAUUUACAAUCGUUUCGGGCGUAUUCGUUCACAUUCAUAUCAUUCUCGGUGUACAUAACCCCUUUCCGUGACAUUUACGUAUCAAUCGAACAUUGAUCGAAAUAUCGAUAAUACGCUUCGAAUUUUUCUCGAACGGUUAGUUCGUUGAUACGAUUGUUCAAUCUGGAAGCUGAUACGGAAAACGCGGGAAUGGAUGCUGUGGAUGUCCUCAAUCCUGACACUCUGUCGGGGAACAACAAGGAUGGUUUCAACAACGAAAACAAUGGCAAUAACAAUGAAGACGACGAGGCGCCCACCGUCGAGGAGACUUACGAGGUUACAACUACCAAACGAAAGACGAUUCGGACCAGCUACAAGAUCCAAGAAACAUCUUCAUCAACCAAGACAACCACAAUGACAACUGCAGCAAAGUUAUAUGGCAAGGAUUUGAGUGAAUAUGAUGAUGUGGAUGUGGAUGAUUUAUUGGCACAACUUACUCCAGAAGAAAUUAAUAUACUAGCUAAGGAAGUGGAUCCAGAUGAUAGCUUUAUGCCACCAUCACAGCGUUGUAGCUAUGAAUGUGACAAGAGUCCUACAGGGCCAUUAAAUCGUAAGAAACUCAUUGAACAUAUCAACAAACAAGCUUUGGAAACACCAGACAGACCUGAAUUAAAACCUUAUGUACCUGGUGUAAUAAGAGGCAAAAAGUGGGUUCCACCUCCUCAAGAAACAACAAAAGAAAAAGAAGUAGAAGAACAAAUUGCUAUUGAUCUUGGAGAAGAAUAUGAACAAGCAUUAUCUAAUGCUACUCAAGAAGAAAUUAUUGAUCUUGCUGCUAUUCUUGGAUUUCAUUCUAUGAUGAAUCAAGAUCAAUAUCAUGCUUCUCUAUUAAAUUCUGGCCAACCUGUUGGUUUGGGUUGGGAUGGUAUAACAAAAGCUAGUCAACCAAAACCUUACCCGAUGGAACCUCCCAAUGAUACAGAUGUUGAUGCUACUAUUAAGCAAGUUAGAGAAGAUGAUGUUUCAUUAAUUGAUUUAAAUUGGAAUAAUAUCAAAAAUAUAUCUGAUGAAAAGUUUAUUCAAUUAUUCGAAGGAUUAGAGAUAAAUACACAUCUCGAAUCCCUAAGUUUAACGAAUGUGGGACUCACUGACAAGACUGCACAAAGAUUGGCAGAUGCCUUAGAAAAAAAUUCGACGCUCAGAGUACUCAAUGUGGAAACAAACUUUAUAAGCCCAUCUGUGAUAGUAAGGCUCAUCAGGGCAUUGCUUAAAACGAAGUCAAUAGAAGAAUUUCGAUGUUCGAAUCAGAGGUCGCAGGUAUUGGGAAAUAAAAUUGAAAUGGAAAUUACACAAUUGGUGGAACAAAAUCCAACAUUGCUUCGACUUGGUCUUCACUUGGAAUUCAAUGACGCUAGACAUCGCGUAGCUGCACAUUUACAACGCAACAUUGAUAGGAUACGGAAAGACCUAACGCUGCGACUACAGUUCCGAUUCUUUAACAUGAAUCACAGGAAACCUGCCUUGAUUCAAUGAAAGUACGGCAGUCCCGGCUCGGGGUGGCGACAUCUUAACGCGAAGUGGCGUUCGCCUAGAUCGUCUACAGCGCACGGGAAGAUCUUCCCGCAACUACACUAUCGGCUGGACCAUGCCACGAUCGUCCAUUGACAACCCUGAUUUGGCGACCUAGAUGCUCGUGCAAUACGCCUGCGA
rnacentral:misc_RNA from 1 species